rnacentral:tRNA from 1 species
GGGGGUAUAGCUCAGCUGGUAGAGCGCUGCCUUUGCAAGGCAGAUGUGAGCGGUUCGA